UCCGGCUCCAGAUUCAGGGAGCUGAGUCU
rnacentral:piRNA from 1 species